ensembl:snRNA U6 U6 spliceosomal RNA
GUGUUCGCUUCGGCAGCACAUAUACUAAAAUUGGAACGAUACAAAGAAGAUUAGCAUGGCCCCUGCAAAUUCGUUCCAUAUUUUU